rnacentral:misc_RNA from 1 species
CGCGUGGAAAUUCUUCUAAAGUUGACGAGUCAAAACUUGACGAGUCAAAAUUAAAGAAUGACCAAUCAAAAUCUGCCAAGGAAAGAUCGAGUGUUGAAAAGUCAAAUUCAAGAGAGGUUGAAAGACUUGAGUGGGCUGCCAAGAAAGAAACUCUUCCUAGGGUUUCUUGUGUUUAUGUGAACAAAGUUCUAAUGCAACAAGGUGUUCUAAAAGAUAGCAAG